UGAACUUACAGAGUUUAUUAAUGAGAAUUUUACUCAUGGCCUAUUGAAUGAGAACAAAGACCUUUAUCAGAUGGAAAGCUAAAUUGUUGGUUUGCAUUAUCGAGGAAAGAUGGUGAGAGGAAAAAGGAUUUACGUCUUCAUUUUAUAAAUGAACUACCAUCAAGCCUAGUUAAAGGCAAUGAGGUUAAGGGUGAGAGAGGGGCUCGUAUUCAUGUUGUCUUGGUAGAUUCCAGGACAGGUAGUGUUGUGCAAUCUGGACGCCCAUCAAAGCUAGAGUUGACGGUGACGGUGAUUGGAGGUGACUUUGACGGAGAAGCUGGCAAAAAUUGGACUAGAGAGUUCUUUGAGAGCCAUGAAAAUAAAAUAAUGGGGCAGGAGGGGAAGAUGCCGCUCUUGAAUGGUGAUCUCUCUGUGCUUCUCGAUGAAGGUAUGGGGACAUUGGGAGCUAUCACUUUUAAUGACGUAUCAAUCGGGAUAGGAAGUGGCAAAUUCAGGCUUGGAGUCAAAACUAAGGAGGUUUAUUGUGAAGGAAUUCGUGUUUAUGAGGGCACGUCCAAUGCCUUCGCUGUGGAAGAUGUGCCGGCAGCCCCAUUUCCUCCUCCAAGGCAGCUGCAGCGG